UACAGAGAGUGCAAGCGUUGUUCGGAAUUACUGGGCGUAAAGCGCGUGUAGGCUGCGGUGUAAGUCAGGUGUGAAAGCCCUCAGCUUAACUGAGGAAGUGCACUUGAUACUGUGUCGCUUGAGUGUCGGAGGGGGUGGCGGAAUUCCCGGUGUAGAGGUGAAAUUCGUAGAUAUCGGGAGGAACACCUGUGGCGAAGGCGGCCACCUGGACGACAACUGACGCUGAGACGCGAAAGCGUGGGUAGCAAACAGG
rnacentral:rRNA from 1 species